CCUACGGGUGGCAGCAGUCGAGAAUCAUUCACAAUGGGGGAAACCCUGAUGGUGCGACGCCGCGUGGGGGAAUGAAGGUCUUCGGAUUGUAAACCCCUGUCAUGUGGGAGCAAAUUAAAAAGAUAGUACCACAAGAGGAAGAGACGGCUAACUCUGUGCCAGCAGCCGCGGUAAUACAGAGGUCUCAAGCGAUGUUCGGAAUCACUGGGCGUAAAGGGUGCGUAGGCUGUUUAGUAAGUCGUGUGUGAAAGGCGCGGGCUCAACCCGCGGACGGCACAUGAUCCUGCGAGACUAGAGUAAGGGAGGGGGAACCGGAAUUCUCGGUGUAGCAGUGAAAUGCGUAGAUAUCAGGAGGAACACCGGCGGCGAAGGCGGCCUGCUGGACCGCGACUGACGUUGAGGCUCGAAAGCGUGGGGAGCGAACAGGAUUAGAUACCCUAGUAGUC
rnacentral:rRNA from 1 species